AAUGUUGCUUAGACACAGACAAUAAUUUGGACAAAGAUCUAAAAGAGUCUUUUUCUCCAGUCUCUGCCAAGGAAUUGCCACUGUGUGACUACCCCAGGAAACAGGACCUAUGUCCUCCUAGUUUCAGACAGCUAACCUGUAAACCAGCUACUAAUUCCUGUGGAGGAGCUGUUUGCCAACAAGGAGAUACCUUCCAUGAAGAUCCUGAGUAUCCUGUCUGCAUCUACCUUGCUGGAUAUGCUAGAAAGUUCUGUGAGACAGGUCACAAGGAGUGGGUUUUCAGCUCCUACCACAAUGGGGCUGUGUGCCAGGAUCGAAUCAAUGGCUGCUCCUGUCUGCCUGGAUACCAAGGCAGACAUUGUGAAUUAGAAGUAGAUGGAUUUGUUUCUCACCACUGCAGGAGUGAGGGUGAUGUGUCAAAAAUAUAAGAAGAUAUGCAUGUGUCUGUUCCCAAGCAUAGUCUAGUGUGAACUGUCAGUUGGAUGUUGAUGAAUGUUAACCCCAGGCAUGUCUACAUGGUACCAUGUAUCAGGAUGCUUUUGGGUCUUACUUCUGUGAUUAUGCACCUGGACUGCUUGGAGACUACUGUGAACUCAACUCUGAUGAAUGUUCCAAUCAGCCAUGUCUGGGAAGGUCUAUGUGUGGAUAGAAGAAAAAAUUACUACCAUGACUGCAUAGGUAGUGGAUUCACAGGGACACACUGAGAGACAUUGAUUCCUCUUGUUCAAAACCCUGUCAAAAUGAUACAACAUGUGAAGACACUGUUGACAGCUAUACUUGUCACUGCUGGCUUGGAAACACAAGUACCCUGUGUGAGCUGGACAUAAAUGACUGCAGAGACAACUUCUGCCAAUUUAGUGGGAAAUGUGCUGAGCUGUCCUCAGAAGAUCAGUAGGGACACAUUGCAGCCCUGACCUCCUCCUUCAACUACCUUGGAGCCUCAGGCUAU
rnacentral:lncRNA from 1 species